rnacentral:lncRNA from 1 species
GUGGAAAAAAAUAGGAUGCAGUUCGGUAGCAGGUGCAUGAUGCACACUUUAUUGUAACCAACUUCAGAAUUGCGAGACUGGGAAGAACUGGGCAGCUGGCUGUACAGGGAAGGUAAAGGAUGGAGGGGCUGCCGUGGGUCGUAAGAUGAAUAGGAGUCCUUAACAUCUUGCUGUUUUAGAAGGAGCAAACAUCAUGCAGGUCCAUAUAGCUGCAUGUAAUGAUCCUUCUCCUGACAGAUCUUUUGCCACACAGAAAGCCUACGAAGAAGGCUGCCUUUCUAAAGACUGGAUCCACAGUUCACUGAAAUCAAUGGAAGUGAUCCCAGCUGACUUGGAAAACUCUAGAUUGGACCAUAAACCAGGUGAUGGGACCUGCUUCUACUCUCUCCAGUUUACCUUGACGUGCUGUUGCAGUUUGUUCAGUUUCCCAACAAGCUCACUGUCAUUCCUGUUGGCGUGAUCCAGUUGCAUUUCCAGUCUGG